rnacentral:tRNA from 1 species
CGCGCGGCCGAUUUUGUAACGUGUUGAUUUCUUUGAAUUAUUGACGAACUUUUAAUCAGUAGGUCAUGGGUUCGAAUCCCAUCGCGCUC